rnacentral:rRNA from 1 species
AAUGAACGUUGGCGGCGUGGAUUAGGCAUGCAAGUCGAGCGAGAACCGUAGCAAUACGGGGACAGCGGCGAAAGGGACAGUAAUGUGUAGGUACCUACCCCCGGGUUCGGGAUAGCUGCGGGAAACUGCAGGUAAUACCGAAUAACGUCUUCGGACCAAAGGUGUGAUUCCACCUGGGGAGGGGCCUGCAUCCUAUUAGCUUGUUGGUGGGGUAACGGCUUACCAAGGCGACGAUGGGUAGCGGGUGUGAGAGCAUGACCCGCGUCAUUGGGACUGGGACACUGCCCAGACACCUACGGGUGGCUGCAGUCGAGGAUCUUCGGCAAUGGGCGCAAGCCUGACCGAGCGACGCCGCGUGCGGGAUGAAGGCCUUCGGGUUGUAAACCGCUGUCGUAGAGGAGGAAAUGCAGGAGGGUUCUCCCUUCUGUUUGACCUAUUCUAGGAGGAAGUACGGGCUAAGUUCGUGCCAGCCGCCGCGGUAA